UACGGAGGAUGCAAGCGUUAUCCGGAUUUAUUGGGUUUAAAGGGUGCGUAGGUGGUCUAUUAAGUCAGUUGUGAAAGUUUGCGGCUCAACCGUAAAAUUGCAAUUGAAACUGUUAGACUUGAGUGUAAAUGAGGUGGGCGGAAUUCGUAGUGUAGCGGUGAAAUGCUUAGAUAUUACGAAGAACUCCGAUUGCGUAGGCAGCUCACUAAGCUACAACUGACACUGAGGCACGAAAGUGUGGGUAUCAAAC
rnacentral:rRNA from 1 species